UGAACGCUGGCGGCGUGCUUAACACAUGCAAGUCGAACGAUGAAGCCGGAGCUUGCUCUGGUGGAUUAGUGGCGAACGGGUGAGUAACACGUGAGUAACCUGCCCUUGACUCUGGAAUAAGCGUUGGAAACGACGUCUAAUACCGGAUACGAGCUUCCGCCGCAUGGUGAGGAGCUGGAAAGAAUUUCGGUCAAGGAUGGACUCGCGGCCUAUCAGGUAGUUGGUGAGGUAAUGGCUCACCAAGCCUACGACGGGUAGCCGGCCUGAGAGGGUGACCGGCCACACUGGAACUGAGACACGGUCCAGACUCCUACGGGAGGCAGCAGUGGGGAAUAUUGCACAAUGGGCGCAAGCCUGAUGCAGCAACGCCGCGUGAGGGACGACGGCCUUCGGGUUGUAAACCUCUUUUAGUAGGGAAGAAGCGAAAGUGACGGUACCUGCAGAAAAAGCACCGGCUAACUACGUGCCAGCAGCCGCGGUAAUACGUAGGGUGCAAGCGUUAUCCGGAAUUAUUGGGCGUAAAGAGCUCGUAGGCGGUUUGUCGCGUCUGCUGUGAAAACUGGGGGCUCAACCCCCAGCCUGCAGUGGGUACGGGCAGACUAGAGUGCGGUAGGGGAGAUUGGAAUUCCUGGUGUAGCGGUGGAAUGCGCAGAUAUCAGGAGGAACACCGAUGGCGAAGGCAGAUCUCUGGGCCGUAACUGACGCUGAGGAGCGAAAGCAUGGGGAGCGAACAGGAUUAGAUACCCUGGUAGUCCAUGCCGUAAA
rnacentral:rRNA from 1 species